UAUUCCUACGGGAGGCAGCAGUAGGGAAUCUUCCACAAUGGACGCAAGUCUGAUGGAGCAACGCCGCGUGAGUGAAGAAGGCUUUCGGGUCGUAAAACUCCGUUGUUGGAGAAGAAUGGUCGGCAGAGUAACUGUUGUCGGCGUGACGGUAUCCAACCAGAAAGCCACGGCUAACUACGUGCCAGCAGCCGCGGUAAUACGUAGGUGGCAAGCGUUAUCCGGAUUUAUUGGGCGUAAAGCGAGCGCAGGCGGUUUUUUAAGUCUGAUGUGAAAGCCCUCGGCUUAACCGAGGAAGUGCAUCGGAAACUGGGAAACUUGAGUGCAGAAGAGGACAGUGGAACUCCAUGUGUAGCGGUGAAAUGCGUAGAUAUAUGGAAGAACACCAGUGGCGAAGGCGGCUGUCUGGUCUGUAACUGACGCUGAGGCUCGAAAGCAUGGGUAGCGAACAGGAUUAGAUACCCUGGUAGUCCAUGCCGUAAACGAUGAAUGCUAGGUGUUGGAGGGUUUCCGCCCUUCAGUGCCGCAGCUAACGCAUUAAGCAUUCCGCCUGGGGAGUACGACCGCAAGGUUGAAACUCAAAGGAAUUGACGGA
rnacentral:rRNA from 1 species